UACAGAGGUCUCAAGCGUUGUUCGGAUUCAUUGGGCGUAAAGGGUGCGUAGGCGGCGCGGUAAGUCGGGUGUGAAAUCUUGGAGCUUAACUCCGAAACUGCAUUCGAUACUGCCGUGCUUGAGGACUGGAGAGGAGACUGGAAUUUACGGUGUAGCGGUGAAAUGCGUAGAUAUCGUAAGGAAGACCAGUGGCGAAGGCGGCAUCCUGGACCGGCAUUGACGCUGAGGAGCGAAAGCUAGGGGAGCAAACGGG
rnacentral:rRNA from 1 species